UGUUUCGGCUAGGGGGCCAUCCCGGCUUACCAACCCGAUGCAAACUGCGAAUACCGGAGAAUGUUAUCACGGGAGACACACGGCGGGUGCUAACGUCCGUCGUGAAGAGGGAAACAACCCAGACCGCCAGCUAAGGUCCCAAAGUCAUGGUUAAGUGGGAAACGAUGUGGGAAGGCCCAGACAGCCAGGAUGUUGGCUUAGAAGCAGCCAUCAUUUAAAGAAAGCGUAAUAGCUCACUGGUCGAGUC
rnacentral:rRNA from 1 species